rnacentral:lncRNA from 1 species
GUUUAUACCAGGUGUAUACAUACAUGGACCAAAUUCGCAAUUUACUCUUUCCAGGAGACCGGAAAAGGACUCUCUGUUGGUUGACAAAAGAGGCGAUGUUGGUGUAUGUGAUCAUGAAAAAAAGAGAGAUUGAAUCUUAAUCGAUGCUUACCAAUGGAGAUGUUCUCUCAAGUAAGGAUCACUUGGACUCAGUGCAUCAGGGUCGGUCAAGAUCUUCAAGUAAAAAUAGAUCAGUACUGUUAAUAGAUUUAGAUUUAAGAUGGAAUGUUGUGUGAAAUUAAUCAAACUGAAGAUGGAAUGUUGCUUGUGGAUAACAUUUUUAUGUGCACAUACACAUACACAUGAUCGUGCUCUAAACAAGCCUUCAUUAGGUCUUAACUGGUCGUUUGUUCGUCUCUAAUAAAGACUACAAACAUCAAUGCAAAGGAGAAACUUGUGAUCGAGCUGGACUUUCUUUAUUAAUAUAUUUUUCUGUGUGUGUGUGUGUGUGUUUUAGUAUUUCCAAAGGAUGACGCCACGAAGAGGAUAACGGGAGAUGGAAAAACCUACCCCAUAGCGCCCGCCAUAGUGGUGUUGGCGGCGCUAUGGGGGCGCCAUAUUCAAAUUUGGCGUGAUAUAAAGUGCCACUACAGUUGGCCUUAUAACUUUAGAUGACUAUCCAUAAUUUAUAACUCUUUCCAAAAUAAGCUAAUGGCCGGAAAACGGGACUCUUUUCGGUGCUCGGCGUCACAGAGACUUUGCAUCUAUUUUUAGCAGCUUAACCGUUAGUUUUAGCAGCUCGUUCAGCUAGAAUUUUACUAAUUUAUAUACUCUGUCUGUCUCUGUUGCUUGACAAAGGAGCCAAUGUUAGUGUAGAAAGGCAUGUUUUCAUUCAUAAUUUAUAUAUGUUCUGUACUUCAGUUUGUUUUUAGUAGAGUUGUGUUCUAGGUCUUACAUUGCGAUUGGGCCACCAAAUUAGGGUUCUUAAAUUGAUAGUUAUGUAUGGUGAACAUCAGAAUUGGUAUCAUGUUUAUUCUCCAGUUGAUUUGAAU